rnacentral:rRNA from 1 species
UACGUAUGGUGCAAGCGUUAUCCGGAUUUACUGGGUGUAAAGGGAGCGUAGGCGGCGCGUUAAGUCUGAUGUGAAAACCCGAGGCUCAACCACGGGAGUGCAUUGAAACUGGCGUGCUGGAGUGCCGGAGAGGUAAGCGGAAUUCCUAGUGUAGCGGUGAAAUGCGUAGAUAUUAGGAGGAACACCAGUGGCGAAGGCGGCCUGCUGGACGAUGACUGACGUUGAGGCUCGAAAGCGUGGGGAGCAAACAGG